GUAGUUUGAUCGUGGCUCAGAUUGAACGCUGGCGGCAGGCCUAACACAUGCAAGUCGAGCGGAUGAAGGGAGCUUGCUCCUGGAUUCAGCGGCGGACGGGUGAGUAAUGCCUAGGAAUCUGCCUGGUAGUGGGGGAUAACGUCCGGAAACGGGCGCUAACACCGCAUACGUCCUGAGGGAGAAAGUGGGGGAUCUUCGGACCUCACGCUAUCAGAUGAGCCUAGGUCGGAUUAGCUAGUUGGUGGGGUAAAGGCUACCAAGGCGACGAUCCGUAACUGGUCUGAGAGGAUGAUCAGUCACACUGGAACUGAGACACGGUCCAGACUCCUACGGGAGGCAGCAGUGGGGAAU
rnacentral:rRNA from 1 species